CCAUCAGCAUUUUAAUCAAAGAAUAUGUUAUGCAUUGAUGUCAAAUUACAAUUGCGAAUAGGAACUUACUAACACAUCGAAUUGGUAAAAAUUAAAAAUUAUAGGAGUGUCCCACCUAUUACACAUCACUAAAAGAGUUACCAAUAAUAUUUAUGCACGUAAUUGACAAUUAAAUAGUCGUCUAUGCUGACCACCUUUAGCGACGGACAAAACCGUUGUUAAACUCAUCGUCGUCAUAGGGUCUGAACUGUUGUGAUAGCUCUGAACCGUCACUAAAUAUGUUCAAAUAUGUGACCCAAUAAAGCCAGAUAUAUGUUCAAGACUCAGUUUUAUUAGGCCAGAACAAGCAUAAGAAGACUUUCUGUUAGGAAAUUUAGGAACCAAAGUUGGAGCCUAUGAAUUCUCAACAGCUUUCUACAGAAUAAAUUAACAGAUGAAUGACUUAAAUGAAGAAUGGGAUUGUUAAGCUGGUCAAGUUCCGACGACUAACAUGAUCGCUACUCUCUGCCUUUUCUUUCAAACUAGUCCAAGAUUUUCUUCUCCGCUUACUGGAUGCGACAACAGAUUUUUCUGCAUCCAGAACUGCUUUCGGAUUCAGCUGCUUUAUUGGAUUUUGAUCUACUCGACUACUCCUCGCCUCCAACAGAUCGCAAGUGGAAUUGCUGGACUGUUCGUGACUGGACCGUCUUUCAGUACAUCUGUCGAAACAACCUCAACAUUCUCCAUAGUGCUCAUCCCUGAAGCAGCCUCACCGUUCUUAUUAACCUCACCAUUAUCCAUAGCGUGUCUCACUGAGAUGAUAAGACUUUGAAAGUGUGCUUUUAGCAAGUUCUGAUUUCGAUAGUGCUGUAGUCUUUGGUGGAUAUAUAUAACUGACCUCUUGGCGUCCCUCUUACCAAAUUACGAUGUGAACAGA
rnacentral:lncRNA from 1 species